UACAGAGGUCCCAAGCGUUGUUCGGAUUCACUGGGCGUAAAGGGUGCGUAGGUGGCGGUGUAAGUUUGAUGUGAAAUCUCCGGGCUCAACCCGGAAAAUGCAUUGAAUACUACAUUGCUGGAGGUUUGGAGGGGGGACUGGAAUUCUUGGUGUAGCAGUGAAAUGCGUAGAUAUCAAGAGGAACACCGGUGGCGAAGGCGGGUCUCUGGGCAGUAACUGACGCUGAGGAGCGAAAGCGUGGGGAGCGAACAGG
rnacentral:rRNA from 1 species